UACGUAGGGCGCGAGCGUUGUCCGGAAUCAUUGGGCGUAAAGCGCGCGUAGGCGGCCCGGUAAGUCCGCUGUAAAAGUCCAGGGCUCAACCCUGGAAAGCCGGUGGAUACUGUCGGGCUCGAGUCCGGAAGAGGCGAGUGGAAUUCCUGGCGUAGCGGUGGAAUGCGCAGAUAUCAGGAGGAACACCGAUAGCGAAGGCAGCUCGCUGGGACGGUACUGACGCUGAGGCGCGAAAGCGUGGGGAGCGAACAGG
rnacentral:rRNA from 1 species